UCUAUUCCAGUCAAAGGCAUGUACCUUGGUUGUGGGCACAUCCCCAGUAGGAGUUGUUCCAGUCAAAGGCCAUCUUAGAUGAGACAACAUCUAGCCAAGCCCAGGGCACCUAUAAACACACCAGAGGACUCAAAAUCAACAAAGCUGCUUCCUCUACUUGCAACUGAUUGCAGACAGACUGGCUCUGAAUAAAGAAGGCAAGCAGUCUGCUGUUGUCCAGCAUCAAUUGACGUGUAUACAGGCAGAUGAAACCAAUCAUGAUAACAAAGAAAGAAGAACAUCUUUG